AACGUAGGUGGCGAGCGUUAUCCGGAUUUACUGGGCGUAAAGGGUGUGCAGGCGGGCUGUUAAGUGGUGUAUGAAAUCUCCCGGCUCAACCGGGAAGGGUUAUGCCAGACUGGCAGUCUAGAGAGCGAGAGAGGGACGUGGAAUUCUGGGUGUAGUGGUGAAAUGCGUAGAGAUCCGGAGGAACCCCAGAGGCGAAGGCGGCGUCCUGGCUCGCAUCUGACGCUCAGACACGACAGCAUGGGGAGCGAACGGG
rnacentral:rRNA from 1 species